rfam:Citrus clementina cultivar Clemenules unplaced genomic scaffold scaffold_8, whole genome shotgun sequence.
AUACCAUGACGAGGACACCUUCUGAGCAAUUCUUUGAAUCUUUCCCAAACCUCGUACAAACCCUCAUUUUUAAAUUGAUGGAAGGAAUUAAUCUCAUUCCGUAACUUU